GUGGGGAAUAUUGGACAAUGGGCGAAAGCCUGAUCCAGCCAUGCCGCGUGUGUGAAGAAGGUCUUCGGAUUGUAAAGCACUUUAAGUUGGGAGGAAGGGCAGUAAGUUAAUACCUUGCUGUUUUGACGUUACCGACAGAAUAAGCACCGGCUAACUCCGUGCCAGCAGCCGCGGUAAUACGUAGGGUGCAAGCGUUAAUCGGAAUUACUGGGCGUAAAGCGUGCGCAGGCGGUUAUAUAAGACAGAUGUGAAAUCCCCGGGCUCAACCUGGGAACUGCAUUUGGGACUGUAUAGCUAGAGUACGGUAGAGGGUAGUGGAAUUUCCUGUGUAGCGGUGAAAUGCGUAGAUAUAGGAAGGAACACCAGUGGCGAAGGCGACUACCUGGACUGAUACUGACACUGAGGUGCGAAAGCGUGGGGAGCAAACAGGAUUAGAUACCCCGGUAGUCC
rnacentral:rRNA from 1 species